rnacentral:rRNA from 1 species
AGCGAACGUUAGCGGCGGGCCUAACACAUGCAAGUCGAACGCGAAAGGUCUUCGGACUGAUUAGAGUGGCGCACGGGUGAGUAACACGUAGGUAAUCUACCCUUUGGCGGGGGAUAACGUUCCGAAAGGAGCGCUAAUACCGCAUAAGACCACGGAGUCUCCGGACGCUGUGGGAAAAGGUGGCCUCUUCUUGAAAGCUAUCACCGGAGGAUGAGCCUGCGUCCCAUCAGCUAGUUGGUAAGGUAAUGGCUUACCAAGGCAAAGACGGGUAGCUGGUUUGAGAGAAUGAUCAGCCACACUGGCACUGGAACACGGGCCAGACUCCUACGGGAGGCAGCAGUGAGGAAUAUUGGGCAAUGGGCGAAAGCCUGACCCAGCCACGCCGCGUGAGUGAUGAAGGCCCUCGGGUCGUAAAGCU